UGGGGAAUUUUGGACAAUGGGCGAAAGCCUGAUCCAGCAAUGCCGCGUGUGUGAAGAAGGCCUUCGGGUUGUAAAGCACUUUUGUCCGGAAAGAAAUCCUUGGCUCUAAUACAGUCGGGGGAUGACGGUACCGGAAGAAUAAGCACCGGCUAACUACGUGCCAGCAGCCGCGGUAAUACGUAGGGUGCAAGCGUUAAUCGGAAUUACUGGGCGUAAAGCGUGCGCAGGCGGUUUGCUAAGACCGGUGUGAAAUCCCCGGGCUCAACCUGGGAACUGCAUUGGUGACUGGCAGGCUAGAGUAUGGCAGAGGGGGGUAGAAUUCCACGUGUAGCAGUGAAAUGCGUAGAGAUGUGGAGGAAUACCGAUGGCGAAGGCAGCCCCCUGGGCCAAUACUGACGCUCAUGCACGAAAGCGUGGGGGAGCAAACAGGAUUAGAUACCCUGGUAGUCCACGCCCUAAACGAUGUCAACUAGUUGUUGGGGAUUCAUUUCCUUAGUAACGUAGCUAACGCGUGAAGUUGACCGCCUGGGGAGUACGGUCGCAAGAUUAAAACUCAAAUGAAUUGACGGGGUCAUAGCUGUUUCCU
rnacentral:rRNA from 1 species